rnacentral:rRNA from 1 species
AGAGAGAGACAUGCGUGCAUAUCAAUAAGCGGAGGAAAAGAAACUAACAAGGAUUCCCCUAGUAACGGCGAGUGAAGCGGGAAGAGCUCAAAUUUGAAAUCUUAAAGGGUUUCCCUUUACGAAUUGUAGUUUAAAGAAGUGUUUUCUGUUGAGGUUUUGGUAAAAGUUCUUUGGAAUAGGACAUCAUAGAGGGUGAGAAUCCCGUAUUUGACCUUUACUUUCAACUUUGUGAUACACUUUCAAAGAGUCGGAUUGUUUGGGAAUGCAGUCCAAAAUGGGUGGUAAAUUUCAUCUAAAGCUAAAUAUUGGCGAGAGACCGAUAGCGAACAAGUACCGUGAGGGAAAGAUGAAAAGAACUUUGAAAAGAGAGUUAAACAGUACGUGAAAUUGUCAAAAGGGAAGCGUUUGACACCAGUGUUGUUUUUCUGAAAAUCAAUUAAAGAACUGUUUAUGCUAAGCUGUUUAGACUUUAUCAGCUAUACUGUUUAGUUUUGAGCUUUUCUUUAAUGCACUUUUCAGUUAACAAGUCAACAUCAAUUUCUUUUGCUGUAAAAAAGCUUGAGGAAGGUGGCUUGAGAUUCGUCUUAAGUGUUUAUAGCCUCUUGCCUAUGCAGUCGGAGAGAUUGAGGUCUGCAGCGUAGAUCCUUCGGGGCUAAAUGCAUUUGUGCUAAGUUAUAGCAUUUUAUAGACAACUUGUUGACUAUGAUUUGUCUUGUAGCUUACUCGCUUAUGUUAUUUUACCUACGCUUAGGAUGUUGACGCAUGAGAUAUACGC